rnacentral:rRNA from 1 species
GUCCACGCCGUAAACGAUGGAUACUAGCUGUUGGGCGCAAGUUCAGUGGCUAAGCGAAAGUGAUAAGUAUCCCACCUGGGGAGUACGUUCGCAAGAAUGAAACUCAAAGGAAUUGACGGGGCCCGCACAAGCGGUGGAGCAUGUGGUUUAAUUCGAUGAUACGCGAGGAACCUUACCAAGGCUUAAAUGUAGAUUGACCGUUUUGGAAACAGAACUUUCGCAAGACAAUUUACAAGGUGCUGCAUGGUUGUCGU